AGAAAAAAAGGUCAGUCGUGGGAACUCGAAGAUCAUUA
rnacentral:rRNA from 2 species